GCGGAUGGCUGGAUGAUCGCGGGUAGGGCAGGGCAACCUGCCACGGCCCGAGGAAAGUCCGGACUCCAUGAAGCAACGGUGCCGGGUAACGCCCGGCCGGGGAAACCCGAGGGAAAGCGCCACAGAAAUCAGACCGCCGCGGAUCCGUCCGGGGCAAGGGUGAAACGGUGGGGUAAGAGCCCACCGCGGGACUGGCAACAGGACCGGCACGGCAAGCCCCACCGGGAGCAAUGCCAAAUAGGGACCUCGCGCGGGCCGUAAGGCGCCGCAGGGCCGCUUCAGCCCAGAGGUCCGGGUUGGCAGCUAAAGCGCGCUGGUAACGGCGGGCUUAGACGAAUGAUCAUCCAGGGGCGGCGUGCCGCCCGGGACAGAAUCCGGCUUACAGGCCAUCCGCGCGU
rnacentral:RNase_P_RNA from 1 species